ensembl:Y_RNA Y_RNA Y RNA
AGCCGGUUCCGAGCGCCGUGGGAUUUACAACUAAGUGAUCACAACCAGUCAGACUUCUUUGUUCCUUUUCCACUCCCACCGCUUUGCUUGACUAGCCUUUA